rnacentral:tRNA from 1 species
GGGGAUGUGGCUCAGUGGUAGAGCGCCCGCUUUGCAUGCGGGAGGCCCAGGUUUCGAUCACCUGCUUCUCCA